UACGUAGGGGGCAAGCGUUGUCCGGAUUUAUUGGGCCUAAAGCAUCCGUAGCCGGUUUUACAAGUCCUCCGUUAAAUCCAGCUGCUUAACAGAUGGGCUGCGGAGGAUACUAUAAGACUAGGAGGCAGGAGAGGCAAGCGGUACUCAGUGGGUAGGGGUAAAAUCCGUUGAUCCAUUGAAGACCACCAGUGGCGAAGGCGGCUUGCCAGAAUGCGCUCGACGGUGAGGGAUGAAAGCUGGGGGAGCAAACCGG
rnacentral:rRNA from 1 species